rnacentral:lncRNA from 1 species
AACAUCAGUACCAUGUAUCUGUAUAUCAUAUACAAAUCAUUUCCAUGUAAAUACCUGUAUUAGUUCAUAUCAAACUUGUAUAAUCUUGUUGUAGUAGGCCCAAUUUACACGGGACCAACCAAAUUAACUAGGCCAAACAAAUCCAAAUAAAUAAAACCAAAACAAAAAACCAGUCCAAAUUACAAAAAAAACCCUAAGCCCAAAUGGCCCAAAAUCUAAAAAAAAAUUCAGCAAAAAAGAGGAAGAAGAAACCCUAGCCUCCAUGUGCGCCGCUUUUCCUCGGGUGCAG